AACAUAUUUAUCUUUCAAGUUAUUAUUAUUAGAUUUUUUCAUCUCUUUCUUUUGUUCAUCUUCUCUCUCAGGUUUAUUGAUACCUUCAAUUACACUCCAUUUAAAGUGCGAUUUCUUCUUUUCUUGUUGCCAGAUAAGAUAUCUGAAUACACAAAGGGCUAUAAAUUUGUGAAAUCUGGUGAUAAAGUGAACAACUACGAGCCAUGGCUAAGAUGACUGGAAGGUAUUGUUCAACCAGCCCAUGCUAAUUGGCUUAGCUGCUGGCAAACAAAAAGUGGGUGGUCAUGUUAAAUAUAUGAUCUACCCUUCAUCCUUGUGGUAUGUUUGUUAGCUUAUGAGAUGCCCAUUAUAGUAGCAAAUUGACUUAAACAUGCUGAAUUUGAUUUUAUUUUAUUUUUUUGUGUCGAGAUCUAAGUCUUGAAUCUGACGGUUUAAAUGUAUUGGUGACUUUUUGUUUCAGAGACAUUUUCAAGAUUCAAUGUCUGUUGAACAAUAGUUUUUAAAUUUGCUUCUUUCAAGUUGUGCUCUUGAAUCAUUGAAUAUAACCACAGUUCAUGA